AUGCGCGGCCCGGCGAGGAGCCUGGGACGUGGAAGAGAGGCGUCAGUUUUCCCGCGUAUUUUCUAUAAAAAGAGCGGCGAGAGGAUCCGCGUCCCUUUCUCGCCGAGGCCAGGCGGAAAGCUGAGGCCAGAAACUUCACACCGCUGCCUCGCAGUCGGCCCCGCGCGACGUGUCCACCGAAGUGGAGAUGUUGGGAUUUCCCCGAAGGGUAACGAGGCCAGCGUCGGCGGGGACCUGCAGGUCCUGCCUCCGCCGGGAGCCCCCCGAGCCCGCACGGGCGGGCGGCUGGAGUCGGAGUCGGAGCCGGAGCCGGAGCCGGCAAGCCUGCGCGGGCCGGGCCUCCUUCCCUCCUCGGAGCCCCGUCGGGCGCGGAGCGGAGCCGAGCCCCGGGCGGGGCGGGGCUCCCCGCGGGCCACCCGCCCGCCGCAGCCGCCGCCACCUCGCCGCGGACCUUUGUGCGUGGGUCCCGCGCCCACGCCGCUCCAGCGUCCGCACCAUGGCCCUGGCUGAGGUAGUAGUUUGUGCUGUUGGUCGGGUUGUGACAUUGCCCGCUGUGGAGAUAACUGCGCAAGCUACUGCCUUGCUAGUGCUGGUGAUGUUCAGCCGCGGGUGAAGACAAUGGCCCGGGGAAUCCCCUUUGUUUUCGGGGGGUGGGCCGGGGGGCCGCCUACUCCUCGGGCGCUGCCGCGAGCCCCGGGCGAGGGGCGUGGGAGGGGGGAACGUGGAGUAUGUGCGGGGUGGGGGGGGCGGCUAUUCCUGGAGCUUGGGAAAGGGUCCAGGCGUGGGGGGGGCUUUGAUGAUGUUGGAGGAGAAAGAACUGGUCUGGUGAAAUCACAUUGUGAAAAUUCUACCCCACUUUCUUAAAAUUUUUUGCCCCCAAAGUUAUAGCAAGCUUUAAUUUAUUCGAGGUUUCUGUAGUAAUGAGCAAAUGAUUGGGAGUGGAUUGGAAUGCUCGGAUAAAGUGAGGGACCAGAUAAUACUUGUUCGGUAAAUGCAUUAAAUGAAAUUCUGUCCCCUUUUGCAUUUGGUUUCUACUUUAUCUGCUUGGAUUUUAUCUUGCUUUUUCGAGAUACUGAGAUGUAAACUUGAAUCGAUUUUAAGAAUCAUUGUGGUUUGCAACUCUAGCUACACUUAAAUUUACUGAUAAAAACUGUAUGGAACCUCUUGAAACAUAAAAUAAAUUUCCCUUCUAAUUAAAGUGUACUUUUUGU
rnacentral:lncRNA from 1 species